rnacentral:rRNA from 1 species
ACGAACGGUGACGGCAUGCCUAAUACAUGCAAGUCGAACGAUCCCUUCGGGGAUAGUGGCGCACGGGUGCGUAACGCGUGGGAAUCUGCCCUUGGGUUCGGAAUAACUUCGGGAAACUGAAGCUAAUACCGGAUGAUGACGAAAGUCCAAAGAUUUAUCGCCCAGGGAUGAGCCCGCGUAGGAUUAGCUAGUUGGUGGGGUAAAGGCUCACCAAGGCAACGAUCCUUAGCUGGUCUGAGAGGAUGAUCAGCCACACUGGGACUGAGACACGGCCCAGACUCCUACGGGAGGCAGCAGUAGGGAGUAUUGGACAAUGGGGGCAACCCUGAGCCAGCAAUGCCGCGUGAGUGAUGAAGGCCUCAGGGUUGUAAAGCUCUUUUACCCGAGAGGAUAAUGACAGUAUCGGGAGAAUAAGCUCCGGCUAACUCCGU